GGAGGAUCCGAGCGUUAUCCGGAUNUAUNGGGUNUAAAGGGAGCGUAGAUGGAUGUNUAAGUCAGUNGUGAAAGUCUGCGGCUCAACCGUAAAAUNGCAGUNGAUACUGGAUGUCUUGAGUGCAGUUGAGGCAGGCGGAAUUCGUGGUGUAGCGGUGAAAUGCUUAGAUAUCACGAAGAACUCCGAUUGCGAAGGCAGCCUGCUAAGCUGCAACUGACAUUGAGGCUCGAAAGUGUGGGUAUCAAACAGGAUUAGAUACC
rnacentral:rRNA from 1 species